GGUUUGGCAUUGUACCUGAAAGUUAAGGCCUGACUACUCAACAGGUCACCAACUGUGUCUCAGAAGCCUCUCAUAUAAACAUACAUCUGGGUGUCUGUCGCUGUGAAAUUCUGAGUUUGGAGUUUUCAUUUUUGAUGUUGUCCUUAUAGCUGGAGGGAGGUAACUCUGCUUUUAGAGAGGGGACAGACUGAAAGAUGGUCCAGAAGUCUGACCAUGACAUUUGGGCAUGGAAUUUUUAUUGAAGGUCAGAUGGGAAUUUUGUUCUGUGUCUCAAAGGAGCAUGCGUGGCAGAGGUUCUGUGUGGCAAGGGAUGCCAUUGUAUCCCAGGUCACAGCAUGCAUCCCAAAGACCACAUCUGGAAGCAGAAGCUUCAUCCUGGCUGGAGAGAACAAGGUACUACCACCAGGGCUGCUGGGAGGUGUGUCUUCACCCCAUCCCAGUAUGUUUGUGGCCCCUCUUCAUGCUAUUAUCACCCUCCCCAUGAAGGCUUGCGAAGCACCAAUGGAAAUUCCAAGUCUCUGUCAUCAAGACCAUCUUGUAAAUCGCAAACACAUUAACCCUUCCAUCAUUCAGGAAAAAAAAUGAUGCUGUGUGUUUGCUUAACAACCUCCCUCAGGUAGGGGAGGAGAAGACCCUGCUCAACACUGCUGCCAACCCUUCAAUGACCCUCCAAUGCCUCUCCACAGGAGGACUCAUUCAUUUGCUUCAUAGUGGCAAAUACGUCUCUAUCCUGUAAACUCAACUAGAUAUUUUGUAGUAAAGAAUUCUUGAAAUUCUGUAAUAAAAGGCAAUUCUUACUGUAACAUUUUUAGUUUGGGGACACAAUUUCCUAAGGGGGGGUUAAGGAACAUUUUUACUCAUUAGCUGGAUUUAUGGAUUCUAUGUUUAUUAUAUGGUAGUAUUAUGAAAAGUACCUUUCUAUCCAUACCGCUGCAGUUUCGCCAUCACUCACAUGCCCCCAUUACUGCUUCUGUAUAAAUUCAUCAUUCUCCUACCCUGUCAAAGCACACCCUAUAUGUACUGUAAACAGAGACUGCUUUAGUAAGAUUUAGUCUUAAGGAUUUUCCACUUUUGUCAGUAACAUAUAUUUAUGGAUCAAAAAAAAAAAUAAAGCUGUUUCAACAUAA
rnacentral:lncRNA from 1 species